GCUUAUGGCCAUACCGCCGGAUCUCGUCUGAUCUCGGAAGCUAAUCAGGGUCCGGUCUGGUUAGUACUGGGAUGGGAGACCGCCUGCGAAUACCAGGUGCUGUAAGCU
rnacentral:rRNA from 1 species